GAUGAAGAACGUAGCGAAAUGCGAUAAGUAAUGUGAAUUGCAGAAUUCAGUGAAUCAUCGAAUCUUUGAACGCACAUUGCGCCCCCUGGUAUUCCGGGGGGCAUGCCUGUCCGAGCGUCAUUACAACCCUCAAGCUCAGCUUGGUGUUGGGCCCCGCCGCCCCGGCGGGCCCUAAAGUCAGUGGCGGUGCCGUCCGGCUCCGAGCGUAGUAAUUCUUCUCGCUCUGGAGGUCCGGUCGUGUGCUCGCCAGCAACCCCCAAUAUUUUUCAGGUUGACCUCGGAUCAGGUAGGGAUACCCGCUGAACUUAAGCAUAUCAAUAAGCGGAGGA
rnacentral:misc_RNA from 1 species